rnacentral:lncRNA from 1 species
GGGGGGGGAGUUUGAAGGUGUUUGAAACGAGAAUUAAACUCAAUUAAAAUGCAUGGAAAUUAAAUACAACCGAAUAAUAUAGAAAACAUUAAAGUGAAAUAAAAUGCUAAACCUAACGCAUGCAAUAGACAAAUAUCCAUACAUAAUUAAAACUAUAAAAAUGAAAGUAGAAACAUAAAACCCAACUCAACAAACUAUGUAAAAUAAAUUGAAAGCAAAAGAAGUAAACAACAUGAUUUUUUUACCAUUUCACGUGACCCAUGUACUUUUAAAAUGAAAGAAAAUAUAUUCCUCUCCUUUCCUAAAUCCCAACAUCAAAUUGCACUCCUCAAGAGCCAUAGAAAUUAAAAAAACUUCUAAAAAUCCUCCCUUGUCGUGACCUCCCUCUUCUAAAAGCCAAAAGCAAUUUAAUGAAAUUUUCUCCUCCCAUCAUCACCAAACCGUGACAGCACCAUACACUCCACCUAAUCUACUUCUCAUUCUUCAUUUUUUUUUCAAUUAAAUAAAAGAAAAGAAAGUUGGCUAUUCCUACACUACCAACACCGUCCCAUCCUACUCAUAUCUAAUCUAAUUCUAAUUUCAUCUACUAAUUAAAAGAAAAACUUUAAUUGAGUGAACCUCUGCAUCCCGUCCC